AUUGAACGCUAGCGGGGUGCCUUACACAUGCAAGUCGAACGGAGUGGCGAACGGGUGAGUAAUAUAUCGGAACGUGCCCAGUAGCGGGGGCUAACUACGCGAAAGCGUAGCUAAUACCGCAUACUAUUUGAGCGACCUAUAUCGGAUGAGCUAGUUGGUGUGGUAAAGGCUCACAAAGGCGACGAUCCGUAGCUGGUUUGAGAGGACGACCAGCCAAACUGGGACUGAGACACGGCCCAGACUCCUACGUGAGGCAGCAGUGGGGAAUGUUGGACAAUGGGGGAAACCCUGAUCCAGCCAUCCCGCGUGUGCGAUGAAGGCCUUCGGGUUGUAAAGCACUUUUGGCAGGAAAGCGGUACCUGCAGAAUAAGCAACGGCUAACUACGUGCCAGCAGCCGCGGUAAUUC
rnacentral:rRNA from 1 species